rnacentral:lncRNA from 1 species
AGGAAAUUGCAAAUGGCGGGAGACGCCAGGAGGAAACCAAGCAGAUGAGAUCUACUUAGGGUGUACAAGCUUCUCAAAAUGACCGAGUGCUUACAAUGGGUAAAUGCCAGACUACACUGU